rnacentral:rRNA from 1 species
CCUACGGGAGGCAGCAGUGGGGAAUAUUGGACAAUGGGCGCAAGCCUGAUCCAGCCAUGCCGCGUGUGUGAUGAAGGCCUUAGGGUUGUAAAGCACUUUCACCGGAGAAGAUAAUGACGGUAUCCGGAGAAGAAGCCCCGGCUAACUUCGUGCCAGCAGCCGCGGUAAUACGAAGGGGGCUAGCGUUGUUCGGAAUUACUGGGCGUAAAGCGCACGUAGGCGGAUCGAUCAGUCAGGGGUGAAAUCCCAGAGCUCAACUCUGGAACUGCCUUUGAUACUGUCGAUCUAGAGUAUGGAAGAGGUGAGUGGAAUUCCGAGUGUAGAGGUGAAAUUCGUAGAUAUUCGGAGGAACACCAGUGGCGAAGGCGGCUCACUGGUCCAUUACUGACGCUGAGGUGCG